UACGUAGGGGGCAAGCGUUGUCCGGAAUCAUUGGGCGUAAAGAGCGUGUAGGCGGCCCGGUAAGUCCGCCGUGAAAGUCCAGGGCUCAACCCUGGAAUGCCGGUGGAAACUGCCGGGCUGGAGUCCGGAAGAGGCGAGUGGAAUUCCUGGUGUAGCGGUGAAAUGCGCAGAUAUCAGGAGGAACACCAAUGGCGAAGGCAGCUCGCUGGACGGUACUGACGCUGAGACGCGAAGCGUGGGAGCAACAGG
rnacentral:rRNA from 1 species